rnacentral:sRNA from 1 species
GAGUGUCCACGUCUCUGCACUAUAUAGA